AUGAACGCUAGCUACAGGCUUAACACAUGCAAGUCAGGGGCAGCACUAGGUAGCAAUACUGAGGUGGCGACCGGCGCACGGGUGCGUAACGCGUAUCCAACCUUCCCGUUACUCUUGGAUAGCCCGGAGAAAUUCGGAUUAACCCUCCAUGAGGAGCUGAUGGGGCAUCCCAAUGGUUUCAAAUAUUCAUAGGCGUUGGAUGGGCAUGCGUGCUAUUAGAUAGUUGGCGGGGUAACGGCUCACCAAGGCGACGAUACAUAGGGGGACUGAGAGGUUAACCCCCCACAUUGGUACUGAGACACGGACCAAACUCCUACGGGAGGCAGCAGUGAGGAAUAUUGGUCAAUGGACGCAAGUCUGAACCAGCCAUGCCGCGUGCAGGAUGACGGCUCUAUGAGUUGUAAACUGCUUUUGUAUGAGGGUAAUAUCAGGUACGUGUACCUGCUUGAAAGUAUCAUACGAAUAAGGAUCGGCUAACUCCGUG
rnacentral:rRNA from 1 species